GAGUAACGCGUGAGAAUCUACCCUCAGGUCGGGGACAACCACUGGAAACGGUGGCUAAUACCGGAUGUGCCGAGAGGUGAAAGGCUUGCUGCCUGGGGAAGAGCUUGCGUCUGAUUAGCUAGUUGGUAGUGUAAGGGACUACCAAGGCGACGAUCAGUAGCUGGUCUGAGAGGAUGAUCAGCCACACUGGGACUGAGACACGGCCCAGACUCCUACGGGAGGCAGCAGUGGGGAAUUUUCCGCAAUGGGCGAAAGCCUGACGGAGCAAUACCGCGUGAGGGAGGAAGGCUCUUGGGUUGUAAACCUCUUUUCUCAGGGAAGAAAAAAAUGACGGUACCUGAGGAAUAAGCAUCGGCUAACUCCGUGCCAGCAGCCGCGGUAAUACGGAGGAUGCAAGCGUUAUCCGGAAUGAUUGGGCGUAAAGGGUCCGCAGGUGGCAUUGAAAGUCUGCUGUUAAAGAGUUUGGCUCAACCAAAUAAAAGCAGUGGAAACUACAAAGCUAGAGUUUGGUCGGGGCAGAGGGAAUUCCUGGUGUAGCGGUGAAAUGCGUAGAUAUCAGGAAGAACACCAGUGGCGAAGGCGCUCUGCUAGGCCGAGACUGACAC
rnacentral:rRNA from 1 species